rnacentral:tRNA from 1 species
UGAAGAAAGUGACAGAGUGGCUUUGUAGCUGGCUUGAAACCAGUUUACGGGGGUUCGAUUCCUCCCUUUCUCG